UGGGGAAUAUUGCACAAUGGGCGCAAGCCUGAUGCAGCCAUGCCGCGUGUAUGAAGAAGGCCUUCGGGUUGUAAAGUACUUUCAGCGAGGGGGAAGGCGUUGUGGUUAAUAACCGCAACGAUUGACGUUACUCGCAGAAGAAGCACCGGCUAACUCCGUGCCAGCAGCCGCGGUAAUACGGAGGGUGCAAGCGUUAAUCGGACUUACUGGGCGUAAAGCGCACGCAGGCGGUCUGUCAAGUCGGAUGUGAAAUCCCCGGGCUCAACCUGGGAACUGCAUCCGAAACUGGCAGGCUAGAGUCUUGUAGAGGGGGGUAGAAUUCCAGGUGUAGCGGUGAAAUGCGUAGAGAUCUGGAGGAAUACCGGUGGCGAAGGCGGCCCCCUGGACAAAGACUGACGCUCAGGUGCGAAAGCGUGGGGAGCAAACA
rnacentral:rRNA from 1 species